ACCGAAAACCGCGGGAGCUCGGGUCAACCGGGCUGAGAGGGCGGCUGGGCCGCGCCACGGGAGCUUGGCGCAGCGCGCGGCAGCGCCGCCGACCGCAUGAACCUGACCGGGUAAUGCCGGCGUAGGGAGUGUGAGUUGCCCAUGG
rnacentral:ncRNA from 1 species